rnacentral:rRNA from 1 species
UACGUAGGGCGCGAGCGUUGUCCGGAUUUAUUGGGCGUAAAGAGCUCGUAGGCGGCUUGUCGCGUCGACUGUGAAAUCCCGCGGCUCAACUGCGGGUCUGCAGUCGAUACGGGCAGGCUAGAGUUCGGUAGGGGAGACUGGAAUUCCUGGUGUAGCGGUGAAAUGCGCAGAUAUCAGGUGGAACACCGGUGGCGAAGGCGGGUCUCUGGGCCGAUACUGACGCUGAGGAGCGAAAGCGUGGGGAGCGAACAGG